GAACGCUCUGAGUAAUCAGAGAGUGGCGGACGGGUGAGGAACACGUGGGCAAUCUACCCCGAGGUGAGGAAUACCGGCGAGAAAUCGCCGACAAUACCGCAUAUGCUCGUAAGAGCAAGGUUCGCAAGAACGCCUCAGGAUGAGCCUGCGCUCGAUUAGCUAGUUGGUGGGGUAAUAGCUUACCAAGGCAACGAUCGAUAGCUGGUCUGAGAGGAUGAUCAGCCACACUGGGAUUGAGAACGGCCCAGACUCCUACGGGGGGCAGCAGUGAGGAAUUUUCGUCAAUGGGGGCAACCCUGAACGAGCAACGCCGCGUGCAGGAAGAAGGUUUUCGGAUCGUAAACUGCUUUUCUCUGGGACGAGAACGGACGGUACCAGAGGAAUCAGCCUCGGCUAACUACGUGCCAGCAGCCGCGGUAAU
rnacentral:rRNA from 1 species